rnacentral:tRNA from 1 species
AGUCUUAUAGUCAAAUUGAAUGAUAUUAAAUUGCAAAUUUAAAGUUAAAUAAUUUUUAAGACUU